rnacentral:tmRNA from 1 species
GGGGGCGUAACGGAUUCGACGGGAUUGAAUUGCGGUGAAGAGGCGUGCCGGGUUCCGAGCUCCCGUAAAACGAUCGGAAACCAAAAACUGCCAACACGCAGUUUGCUUACGCUGCCUAAUUGAAUUAGGCAGCCGUCCAGGCGGCUGAGCCCGCGCGGCAGCCAGUGGACGUCAUUUUGCGGGAUAGGCUGAAGGCCGCAGCCUGGAGGCCUGAGGCCGAAAUCUUUCCGGGCUGGGCGGCAGCGGCUUUUGCCGGUUCUAGAACUGCCGCCGAAAUUGCUGAACCGGCUACGCACGUAGGCUCUUCAUGGUGAUCUUUCUCGGACGCGGGUUCGACUCCCGCCGCCUCCACCA